AUGUAUGCCGCUCAAACAAUUGUAGGCCAAGCUGGUGCAUCAUCUUCUGAUACCAUGACGUCCUAUCGUUCUUGUUUUCAUAAUUUCUAUGAUGAUCGGGUUCUCCAGUCAACACCUAAUCUCCGAACAUGGAUUGGUUUUGGACUUCCAGAAGUGUUCCUUCCGAAGCUAAGGUUCCUGAAAGUUCUUUACAUAGAAAAUUCAAGCCUCAAGAAUUUGAUGUUAAUUCCUGGGUGCAUUCACCUAAGAUACCUUAGGUUGAGAAAUUGUCACACUGUUACACUUCCUUCUUCUAUUGGACAACUCCUUUACUUGCAAACUGUAGAUCUGAGGGGCACAUCUCUUGGCAGAAGUUUACCAAUCACCGCAUGGGCUAUCCCUACCCCAAGGCACCUUUACCUUGAUUCUGGAUCUUGUGGAAUCAUUAAACAAGACCCGAUGCCACUCCUAGAGAAGCUUCCAUGUCUUGUGGUGUUGCAUCUAUGGAAUUAUGGGGGCCCGACUAUGCACUGCUCUGCCCAAGGAUUCCCUCAGCUGCAAAAUCUGGAACUUCAUUUCUUUAGUACCGAGUGGACGAUAGAGGUGGGGGCAAUGCCCAGGCUCUCCAACCUGAACCUUCUGAGUUGCGGGAUGCACAAGCUCCCCCAGGAUCUGCUGAACCUGCAGUGCUUGAAGAAGUUGAAAACUAACCGCUGGCGGCUUAAAUUUGACAACACAUGGAAAGAACUGAAAAAGAAGGGAUGCAAGAUGUGCGUUUUGGUGGAUGCCUCUUAG
rnacentral:rRNA from 1 species